rnacentral:rRNA from 1 species
GCCCUAGUAACGGCGAGUGAAGCGGCAAUAGCUCAGAUUUGAAAUCUGGCGUCUUCGGCGUCCGAGUUGUAAUCUGUAGAGGAUGCCUUUGGGUAGCCACCGGUCUAAGUCCCCUGGAACGGGGCGUCACAGAGGGUGAGAAUCCCGUAUGUGACCGGAAGGGCACCCUCCACAAGGCUCCUUCGACGAGUCGAGUUGUUUGGGAAUGCAGCUCUAAAUGGGAGGUAAAUUCCUUCUAAAGCUAAAUACCGGCCAGAGACCGAUAGCGCACAAGUAGAGUGAUCGAAAGAUGAAAAGCACUUUGGAAAGAGAGUUAAAAAGCACGUGAAAUUGUUGAAAGGGAAGCGCUUGCAACCAGACUUGUUGGCGGUGUUCCGCCGGUCUUCUGACCGGUCCACUCACCGUCUGCAGGCCAGCAUCAUCUGGGGCCGCCGGAUAAAAGCGAGGGGAAUGUGGCUCCCCCGGGAGUGUUAUAGCCCCUCGUGCAAUACGGCGAGCCUCGGGUGAGGUCCGCGCUUCGGCUAGGAUGCUGGCGUAAUGGUCGUAAGCGGCCCGUCUUGAAACACGGACCAAGGAGUCUAACAUCUAUGCGAGUGUUCGGGUGUCAAACCCCUACGCGUAAUGAAAGUGAACGGAGGUGGGAGCCUUAGGGUGCACCAUCGACCGAUCCUGAUGUCUUCGGAUGGAUUUGAGUAAGAGCAUAGCUGUUGGGACCCGAAAGAUGGUGAACUAUGCCUGGAUAGGGUGAAGCCAGAGGAAACUCUGGUGGAGGCUCGCAGCGGUUCUGACGUGCAAAUCGAUCGUCAAAUUUGGGUAUA